rnacentral:miRNA from 1 species
AGAUUCAUAUGAGACAACUAGA